CUGAAGCAAACAAAGGAGGGAUUCAGUGCCCGUCUCCCCCGCUCCCCUCUUUCUCUCUAUCUCUCUUGCUGUCUAAAACUAGAAAGAGAAAUCAUCGAUGGAUUUUACUUCGUUUCUUGGGCGAGUCCUCUUUGCCUCAGUUUUCAUACUUUCUGCUUACCAAGAGUAUGUUCAUGUUGUAAUUUGUAUUUAUAUAUGCUUCUCUGUAAGCUUUUGGUUCCUUUCACCAUUUUCUCUACCUGUGUUUAUGGACAAUCUUUUUUGUUUCUUUUAUGGGUUUGGUCUCUUAUGCGCUGUAGAUUUUCUCUCGAUCUGUUUCGUUUCAGGUUUAUAAUCCAACAUUUUACAUUCUUUUUUGGUCCAUCAGGAAACUUCUGCAUUACAUGGAUAAUACAGUCUUGAAACUUUUUGUCAUUUUGGUAGUUGUUAAGCUAACUAAUUUCUGUUAAUAAUUUAGUCAAAGUGUUAGUCUUUAUGCUCAGUAUCUAUAAACACUUUGCUUUUAGCGUUUUUUUAGUUC
rnacentral:misc_RNA from 1 species